rnacentral:rRNA from 1 species
GACGAACGCUGGCGGCGUGCUUAACACAUGCAAGUCGAACGGAAAGGCCCUGCUUUUGUGGGGUGCUCGAGUGGCGAACGGGUGAGUAACACGUGAGUAACCUGCCCUUGACUUUGGGAUAACUUCAGGAAACUGGGGCUAAUACCGGAUAGGAGCUCCUGCUGCAUGGUGGGGGUUGGAAAGUUUCGGCGGUUGGGGAUGGACUCGCGGCUGAUCAGCUUGUUGGUGGGGUAGUGGCUUACCAAGUCUUUGACGGGUAGCCGGCCUGAGAGGGUGACCGGGCACAUUGGGACUGAGGUACGGCCCAGACUCCUACGGGAGGCAGCAGUGGGGAAUAUUGCCCAAUGGGCGGAAGUCUGAUGCAGCAACGCCGCGUGCGGGAUGACGGCCUUCGGGUUGUAAACCGCUUUCGCCUGUGACGAAGCGUGAGUGACGGUAAUGGGUAAAGAAGCACCGGCUAACUACGUG